rnacentral:rRNA from 1 species
UACAGAGGGUGCAAGCGUUAAUCGGAAUUACUGGGCGUAAAGCGUGCGUAGGUGGUUCUUUAAGUUAGGUGUGAAAUCCCUGGGCUCAACCUGGGAACUGCAUUUGAUACUGAAGAGCUAGGGUGUGAUAGAGGAUAGUGGAAUUCCCGGUGUAGCGGUGAAAUGUGUAGAGAUCGGGAGGAACACCGGUGGCGAAGGCGGGUCUCUGGGCAUCUCCUGACGCUGAGGCGCGAAAGCGUGGGGAGCAAACGGG